UACAUAGGGUGCGAGCGUUAUUCGGAUUUAUUGGGCGUAAAGAGCUCGUAGGCGGUUCAACAAGUCGGGUGUUAAACCCCCAGGCUCAACCUGGGGCCGCCACCCGAAACUGUUGUGACUAGAGUUUGGUAGGGGAUCACGGAAUUCCUGGUGUAGCGGUGGAAUGCGCAGAUAUCAGGAGGAACACCAGUAGCGAAGGCGGUGAUCUGGGCCAAUACUGACGCUGAGGAGCGAAAGCGUGGGGGAGCGAACAGGAUUAGAUACCCUGGUAGUCCACGCCGUAAACGGUGGGCACUAGGUGUGGGGACUUUUCAACGGUUUCCGCGCCGCAGCUAACGCAUUAAGUGCCCCGCCUGGGGAGUACGGUCGCAAGACUAAAAC
rnacentral:rRNA from 1 species